rnacentral:rRNA from 1 species
CUACGGGAGGCUCCAGUGGGGAAUAUUGGACAAUGGGGGAAACCCUGAUCCAGCAAUGCCGCGUGUGUGAAGAAGGCCUGCGGGUUGUAAAGCACUUUCGGUUGGGAGGACUGCUUCUAGCACUAAUAUUGUUGGAAGUUGACGUUACCUUCAGAAGAAGCACCGGCUAGCUCCGUGCCAGCAGCCGCGGUGAAUACGGAGGGUGCAAGCGUUAAUCGGAAUUACUGGGCGUAAAGCGCGCGUAGGCGGCUAGAUCAGUCGGGUGUGAAAGCCCCGGGCUUAACCUGGGAACUGCAUCCGAUACUGUCUAGCUUGAGUACAGGAGAGGAGAGUGGAAUUCCACAUGUAGCGGUGAAAUGCGUAGAUAUGUGGAGGAACACCAAUGGCGAAGGCAGCUCUCUGGCCUGAUACUGACGCUGAGGUGCGAAAGCGUGGGGAGCAAACAGGAUUAGAUACCCCAGUAGUC